rnacentral:rRNA from 2 species
UGACCAGCCACACUGGAACUGAGACACGGUCCAGACUCCUACGGGAGGCAGCAGUGGGGAAUAUUGCACAAUGGAGGAAACUCUGAUCAGCCAUGCCGCGUGUGUGAAGAAGGCUUUCGGGUUGUAAAGCACUUUCAGCGAGGAGGAAAGGGUAUGUUUUAAUAGAGCAUAUCUGUGACGUUACUCGCAGAAGAAGCACCGGCUAACUCCGUGCCAGCAGCCGCGGUAAUACGGAGGGUGCGAGCGUUAAUCGGAAUUACUGGGCGUAAAGCGCGCGUAGGCGGUUAAUUAAGUCAGAUGUGAAAUCCCAGGGCUCAACCUUGGAACUGCAUUUGAAACUGGUUAACUAGAGUUUUGUAGAGGGUGGUAGAAUUUCAGGUGUAGCGGUGAAAUGCGUAGAGAUCUGAAGGAAUACCAGUGGCGAAGGCGGCCACCUGGACAAAGACUGACGCUGAGGCGCGAAGGCGUGGGGAGCAAACGGGAUUAGAUACCCCGGUAGUCCACGCAGUAAACGAUGUCUAUUAGAAUUUUGUGGCUAUUGCCGUGGGACAAAGCUAACGCUAAAUAGACCGCCUGGGAGUACGCCGCAAGGUUAAACUCAAUGAAUUGACGGGGCCCGCACAAGCGGUGAGCAUGUGGUUAAUUCGAUGCAACGCGAAGAACCUUACCAUCCCUUGACAUCCAGAGAAUCUGUUAGAGAUAGUAGAGUGCCUUCGGGAACUCUGAGACAGGUGCUGCAUGGCUGUCGUCAGCUCGUGUUGUGAAAUGUUGGGUUAAGUCCCGCAACGAGCGCAACCCUUAUCCUUAUUUGCCAGCGUUAGCCGGGAACUCUAGGGACACUGCCGGUGAUAAACCGGAGGAAGGUGGGGACGACGUCAAGUCAUCAUGGCCCUUACGGGAUGGGCUACACACGUGCUACAAUGGCAAAUACAAAGGGCUGCUAACCAGCGAUGGUAUGCGAAUCUCCUAAAGUUUGUCGUAGUCCGGAUCGGAGUCUGCAACUCGACUCCGUGAAGUUGGAAUCGCUAGUAAUCGUGGAUCAGAAUGCCACGGUGAAUACGUUCCCGGGCCUUGUACACACCGCCCGUCACACCAUGGGAGUGGGCUGCACCAGAAGUCAUUAGCUUAACGGGAUGGCGAUGACCACGGUGUGGUUCAU